UGUAUGGUCAAGCGAGUAAGCGCAUACGGUGAAUGCCUUGGCAGUUGGAGGCGAUGAAGGACGUAGGAGCCUGCGAUAAGCUUCGGGGAGGUGGCAAACACCCUUUGAUCCGAAGAUUUCCGAAUGGGGAAACCCACCCAUCAUAAGAUGGGUAUCAUGCACUGAAUACAUAGGUGUAUGAAGCGAACCCGGAGAACUGAAACAUCUAAGUACCCGGAGGAAAAGAAAUCAACCGAGAUUCCCUAAGUAGCGGCGAGCGAACGGGGAGCAGCCUGCAAGUGAUAGCAGUAGUGUUAGUGGAACAGUCUGGAAAGUCUGGUAAUAAAGGGUGAUAGCCCCGUACACGAAAACACUUCUGUGGUACUAAGCUUGCGAUAAGUAGGUCGGGACACGUGUUAUCCUGAUUGAAUAUGGGGGGACCAUCCUCCAAGGCUAAAUACUACCAACUGACCGAUAGUGAACUAGUACCGUGAGGGAAAGGCGAAAAGAACCCCUGUGAGGGGAGUGAAAUAGAUCCUGAAACCGUAUGCGUACAAGCAGUAGGAGCGGACUUGUUCCGUGACUGCGUACCUUUUGUAUAAUGGGUCAGCGACUUAUUUUCAGUGGCAAGGUUAACCGUAUAGGGGAGCCGUAGGGAAACCGAGUCUUAAUAGGGCGUUUUAGUCGCUGGGAAUAGACCCGAAACCGGGCGAUCUAUCCAUGGCCAGGUUGAAGGUUGAGUAACAUCAACUGGAGGACCGAACCCACUAAAGUUGAAAAUUUAGGGGAUGAGCUGUGGAUCGGAGUGAAAGGCUAAUCAAGCCCGGAGAUAGCUGGUUCUCCUCGAAAGCUAUUUAGGUAGCGCCUCAUGUCUCACCACUGGGGGUAGAGCACUGUUUCGGCUAGGGGGUCAUACCGACUUACCAACCCGAUGCAAACUCCGAAUACCAGUGAGUGCAAUCAUGGGAGACACACGGCGGGUGCUAACGUUCGUCGUGGAGAGGGAAACAACCCAGACCGCCAGCUAAGGUCCCAAAUCUCAGUUAAGUGGGAAACGAUGUGGGAAGGCUCAGACAGCUAGGAGGUUGGCUUAGAAGCAGCCAUCCUUUAAAGAAAGCGUAAUAGCUCACUAGUCGAGUCGGCCUGCGCGGAAGAUGUAACGGGGCUAAACUGAGAACCGAAGCUGCGGAUGCAUAGUUUACUAUGCAUGGUAGAGGAGCGUUCUGUAAGCCGUUGAAGGUGCAUCGUAAGGUGUGCUGGAGGUAUCAGAAGUGCGAAUGCUGACGUGAGUAACGAUAAAGGGGGUGAAAAACCCCCUCGCCGGAAGAUCAAGGUUUCCUGUCCAACGCUAAUCGGGACAGGGUUAGUCGGCACCUAAGGCGAGGCCGAAAGGCGUAGUCGAUGGAAAACAGGUUAAUAUUCCUGUACCUCUUUAUACUGCGAUGGGGGGACGGAGAAGGCUAGGUGAUCAGGGCGUUGGUUGUCCCUGUAUAAGCUUGUAGGGAGAUCUCUUAGGUAAAUCCGGGAGGUCAUAUCCUGAGGAGUGAUAUCGAGCUCAAUUGCGAGCGAAGUCAUUGAUGCCAUGCUUCCAAGAAAAGCCUCUAAGCUUCAGGUAUAAAGAGACCGUACUCUAAACCGACACAGGUGAUCAGGUAGAGAAUACCAAGGCGCUUGAGAGAACUCAGGUGAAGGAACUAGGCAAAAUGGUGCCGUAACUUCGGGAGAAGGCACGCCAAUUUUGGUGACGGGACUUGCUCCCCGAGCUGAAGUUGGCCGCAGAGACCAGGCCCCUGCGACUGUUUAUCUAAAACACAGCACUCUGCAAACUCGUAAGAGGAAGUAUAGGGUGUGACGCCUGCCCGGUGCCGGAAGGUUAAUUGAUGGGGUUAGCUUCGGCGAAGCUCUUGAUCGAAGCCCCGGUAAACGGCGGCCGUAACUAUAACGGUCCUAAGGUAGCGAAAUUCCUUGUCGGGUAAGUUCCGACCUGCACGAAUGGCGUAACGAUGGGGGCGCUGUCUCCACCUGAGACUCAGUGAAAUCGAAAUCGCGGUGAAGAUGCCGUGUUCCCGCGGCUAGACGGAAAGACCCCGUGAACCUUUACUAUAGCUUGGCACUGAACUUUGAACCUAUCUGUGUAGGAUAGGUGGGAGGCUUUGAAGCGUGAUCGCUAGAUUGCGUGGAGCCAUCCUUGAAAUACCACCCUGGUAUGUUUGAGGUUCUAACGCAGACCCGUUAUCCGGGUCGCGGACAGUGUCUGGUGGGUAGUUUGACUGGGGCGGUCUCCUCCCAAAGAGUAACGGAGGAGCGCGAUGGUACACUCAGCAUGGUCGGAAAUCAUGCUAUGAGCGCAAAGGUAGAAGUGUGCUUGACUGCGAGACUGACACGUCGAGCAGGUACGAAAGUAGGUCUUAGUGAUCCGGUGGUUCUGUAUGGAAGGGCCAUCGCUCAACGGAUAAAAGGUACUCCGGGGAUAACAGGCUGAUACCGCCCAAGAGUUCAUAUCGACGGCGGUGUUUGGCACCUCGAUGUCGGCUCAUCACAUCCUGGGGCUGGAGCUGGUCCCAAGGGUAUGGCUGUUCGCCAUUUAAAGUGGUACGCGAGCUGGGUUCAGAACGUCGUGAGACAGUUCGGUCCCUAUCUGCCGUGGGCGUUGGAAAAUUGAGGAAAGCUGCUCCUAGUACGAGAGGACCGGAGUGGACGAACCGCUGGUGUUUGGGUUGUCAUGCCAAUGGCAUUGCCCAGUAGCUACGUUCGGACAGGAUAACCGCUGAAAGCAUCUAAGCGGGAAGCCCCUUCCAAGAUUAAUUUUCCCUGGGAGUUUAACUUCCCUGAAGGGCCGUUCAAGACUAGGACGUUGAUAGGUUGGGUGUGGAAGCGCUGUGAGGCGUUGAGCUAACCAAUACUAAUUGCCCGUGAGGCUUGACCAUAUAAUGCAAG
rnacentral:rRNA from 1 species